ensembl:snoRNA SNORA70 Small nucleolar RNA SNORA70
CUGCAGUCAGUUAAGCCAACCAGGUUCCUUUCCUCAUGGGGCCUGGGGUGCAGAGGCUGUAAACAACAACCUCCUUCGUAUUGUGUACAGCCUGCUGCAUGUGUGGGUUGCUCUAAAGGGACCUUGGAGAUAGUU